CCUACGGGUGGCAGCAGUGGGGAAUAUUGCGCAAUGGGCGAAAGCCUGACGCAGCGACGCCGCGUGAGGGAUGAAUGUCUUCGGAUCGUUAACCUCUGUCAGCAGGGAAGAACGGUCACUGUGCUAAUCAGCAGUGAAUUGACGGUACCUGCAAGGGAAGCACCGGCUAACUCCGUGCCAGCAGCCGCGGCAAUACGGAGGGUGCGAGCGUUAAUCGGAAUUACUGGGCGGAAAGCGAGCGUAGGUGGUAUGUCAAGUCAAGGGUGAAAUCCCCGGGCUCAACGUGGGAACUGCCUUUGAAACUGGCAAACUGGAGUGUGUGAGAGGAUAGUGGAAUUCCAGGUGUAGGAGUGAAAUGCGUAGAUAUCUGGAGGAACAUCAGUGGCGAAGGCGACUAUCUGGCACAUAACUGACGCUGAGGAGCGAAAGCGUGGGUAGCAAACAGGAUUAGAUACCCUGGUAGUC
rnacentral:rRNA from 1 species